GAUGAACGCUGACAGAAUGCUUAACACAUGCAAGUCAACUGUGGCGGACGGGUGAGUAACGCGUAAAGAACUUGCCUCACGGAUAGGGACAACAUUUGGAAACGAAUGCUAAUACCUGAUACUGUGAGAGAGCUUUGCGUCCCAUUAGCUAGUUGGAGAGGUAACGGCUCACCAAGGCGAUGAUGGGUAGCCGGCCUGAGGGGGUGAUCGGCCACAAGGGGAAUGAGACACGGCCCUUACUCCUACGGGAGGCAGCAGUGGGGAAUAUUGGAACAUGGCCCAAAAGUUGAUCCAGCAAUUCUGGGUGGCAGAUGAAGUUUUCGGAAUGUAAAGUGCUUUCAGUUGGGAAGCGGUACCAACAGAAGAAGUGACGGCUAAAUACGUGCCAGCAGCCGCAGUAAUUC
rnacentral:rRNA from 1 species